UCACUGUCAGUUUAAUCCGAUAUAAUUGGUCAAUCGGUAUCUAUGGUAGGAAAAUGGCCAUGACGCAAUUUUGGUUCGUAUCUUAUCGCGUACAUUGAACCAGUAACGUCUGCGUUGUUAAUUAGAUAAAAUGUACCACGAAUGAAUACUUAUAGGAAACAGUUUUAUAAUAUAUUGUCUGUAUCGCACAAAAUCUAAAAAAAAAAAUGAGCCGCGUUGACAUGAAAGUGGUUCUUCUAGGGAAGGAAUAUGGAGGAAAAACAAGUUUAGUCGAACGUUAUGUAUACGAUCGUUUCAGCGGUUGUUCAGUCUAUCAAAACACAAUUGGUGCAGCAUAUGUCGCUAAGCCAGUGGAGAUAAA